CCUACGGGAGGCAGCAGUAGGGAAUAUUGCACAAUGGGGGAAACCCUGAAGCAGCAACGCCGCGUGGAGGAUGAAGGUUUUCGGAUUGUAAACCCCUUUUGUUAGAGAAGAUAAUGACGGUAUCUAACGAAUAAGCACCGGCUAACUCCGUGCCAGCAGCCGCGGUAAUACGGAGGGUGCAAGCGUUACUCGGAAUCACUGGGCGUAAAGAGCGCGUAGGCGGGAUAGCAAGUCAGAUGUGAAAUCCUAUGGCUUAACCAUAGAACUGCAUUUGAAACUGUUAUUCUAGAGUAUGGGAGAGGUAGGUGGAAUUCUUGGUGUAGGGGUAAAAUGCGUAGAGAUCAAGAGGAAUACUCAUUGCGAAGGCGACCUGCUAGAACAUAACUGACGCUGAUGCGCGAAAGCGUGGGGAGCAAACAGGAUUAGAUACCCGAGUAGUC
rnacentral:rRNA from 1 species